UUAAGUCUGAGGUGAAAGCCCAGGGCUCAACCUGGGUACUGCAUUGGAUACUGGGUUACUAGAGUGCGGGAGAGGGUGGUGGAAUUCCCGGUGUAGCAGUGAAAUGCGUAGAUAUCGGGAGGAACAUCUGUGGCGAAGGCGACUACCUGGACCAGCACUGACACUGAGGCACGAAAGCGUGGGGAGCAAACAGG
rnacentral:rRNA from 1 species